CAUUUUCACAUCUUCAGCGAUUCUGUGCCUGGCAGAGAAGGCAAAGUCCUGAAGCAGGCGCCUCACGGAACUGUGAGGGUCAUUGGCCGCUGCAGCUGCAGCUGCUGUUUUGAGUGCCUCUUAUCUGGUGCCACUUUGGGGCAUCUCAGUAACUCCAGGGAGCAUCUCCUGUUGCCUGAGUUGGAACCUGGCCUAUAUAUAGUCUGCCUGCCAGCUCCAGGUCGACAGUGGCGGGAAGAGGCCACUGUUGCAGUGUUUGUGUUUAGGACUUUAAAACACUGGAUACUGCUUCAGCCUGUGUGGGGUUCUCCUUCCGGACACUGGAGAUUCAAGCCCAGCUCUCGCUCCCCAUGGCCGGGGGGUUUCCAGAGCAGCCCAAUCCGCGUCUCCGGGCUCCCACCAGCCCGCUAGUCUCAGAGUCCCCCCAGCCCCGGUAGAUGCCGAGCACGAAGCCCCCACUCCUCCUGCUGCUGCUGCUCCUGGGGACCCUGAUCCUGAAGGACACCUAGGCCGGCUCCCACUCCCUGAGGACUUUCUACACCACAAUGUCCCGGCCCGGCCCCGGGGAGCCCCGCUUCAUCGCCGUGGGGGCCCUGAACGGGGACCUGCGCUCCUGGACCGCGGCGGACACGGCCGCUGAGAUCACCCGGCGCGAGUGGGAGGCGGCCGGAGAGGCGG